GGUGGGAGAAGCGGAACACCGCUGCCGAAGGCGCAACGCCCGUAAUCGCUCAGGCCCGAUACCACC
rnacentral:ncRNA from 1 species